GUCGAACGGCAGCACGGGUGCUUGCACCUGGUGGCGAGUGGCGAACGGGUGAGUAAUACAUCGGAACAUGUCCUGUAGUGGGGGAUAGCCCGGCGAAAGCCGGAUUAAUACCGCAUACGAUCUACGGAUGAAAGCGGGGGACCUUCGGGCCUCGCGCUAUAGGGUUGGCCGAUGGCUGAUUAGCUAGUUGGUGGGGUAAAGGCCUACCAAGGCGACGAUCAGUAGCUGGUCUGAGAGGACGACCAGCCACACUGGGACUGAGACACGGCCCAGACUCCUACGGGAGGCAGCAGUGGGGAAUUUUGGACAAUGGGCGAAAGCCUGAUCCAGCAAUGCCGCGUGUGUGAAGAAGGCCUUCGGGUUGUAAAGCACUUUUGUCCGGAAAGAAAUCC
rnacentral:rRNA from 1 species